rnacentral:rRNA from 1 species
GAUGAACGCUGGCGGCGUGCCUAAUACAUGCAAGUCGAGCGAACGGACGAGAAGCUUGCUUCUCUGAUGUUAGCGGCGGACGGGUGAGUAAAACGUGGAUAACCUACCUAUAAGACUGGGAUAACUUCGGGAAACCGGAGCUAAUACCGGAUGAUAUUUUGAACCGCAUGGUUCAAAAGUGAAAGACGGUCUUGCUGUCACUUAUAGAUGGAUCCGCGCUGCAUUAGCUAGUUGGUAAGGUAACGGCUUACCAAGGCAACGAUGCAUAGCCGACCUGAGAGGGUGAUCGGCCACACUGGAACUUAGACACGGUCCAGACUCCUAAGGGAGGCAGCAGUAGGGAAUCUUCCGCAAUGGGCGAAAGCCUGACGGAGCAACGCCGCGUGAGUGAUGAAGGUCUUCGGAUCGUAAAACUCUGUUAUUAGGGAAGAACAUAUGUGUAAGUAACUGUGCACAUCUUGACGGUACCUAAUCAGAAAGCCACGGCUAACUACGUG